GGCACCAGUGGAGAAUCAUUCACAAUGGGAGAAACCCUGAUGGUGGGACGCCGCGUGGGGGAAUGAAAGUCUUAGGAUUGUAAACCCGUGUCAUGUGAGAGCAAAUUAUAAAGAUAGUUCCACAAGAGGAAGAGACGGCUAACUUUGUUCCAGCAACCGCGGUAAUUCAGAGGUCUCCAGCGUUGUUUGGAAUCUCUGGGGGUAAAAGGUGAGUCAGCUGUUUCGUAAAUUGUGUGUGAAAGGCGCGGGCUCAACCCGCGGACGGCACAUGAUACUGCGAGACUAAGAGUAAUGGAGGGGGAACCGGAAUUUUCGGUGUAGCAGUGAAAUGCGUAGAUAUUGAGAGGAACACUCGUGGGGAAGGCGGGUUCCUGGACAUUAACUGACGCUGAGGCACGAAGGCCAGGGGAGCGAAAGGGAUUAGAUACCCCUGUAGUCCUGGCAGUAAACGGUGCACGCUUGGUGUGCGGGGAAUCGACCCCCUGCGUGCCGGAGCUAACGCGUUAAGCGUGCCGCCUGGGGAGUACGGUCGCAAGAUUAAAACUCAAAGAAAUUGACGGGGACCCGCACAAGCGGUGGAGUAUGUGGCUUAAUUCGAUGCAACGCGAAGAACCUUACCUGGGCUUGACAUGUAAUGAACAACAUGUGAAAGCAUGCGACUCUUCGGAGGCGUCACACAGGUGCUGCAUGGCCGUCGUCAGCUCGUGUCGUGAGAUGUUUGGUUAAGUCCAGCAACGAGCGCAACCCCUGUUGCCAGUUACCAGCACGUGAAGGUGGGGACUCUGGCGAGACUGCCCAGAUCAACUGGGAGGAAGGUGGGGACGACGUCAGGUCAGUAUGGCCCUUAUGCCCAGGGCUGCACACGUACUACAAUGCCCAGUACAGAGGGGGCCGAAGCCGCGAGGCGGAGGAAAUCCUAAAAACUUGGCCCAGUUCGGACUGUAGGCUGCAACCCGCCUACACGAAGCCGGAAUCGCUAGUAAUGGCGCAUCAGCUACGGCGCCGUGAAUACGUUCCCGGGUCUUGUACUCACCGCCCGUCA
rnacentral:rRNA from 1 species